rnacentral:ribozyme from 1 species
AAGAAAAAAAAAAAAAAAAAAACGAAACCAACUACAAAUCGAAUUCAAAAAAAGGAAACUCCAAAACCAUCGAUGAAUCAUGAAUUCUUUAUUCGCUUUCGCUUCUUUUAAAUAUAGAUUCUCUUUCGCUGCGGCUCCUCAUCCGU